rnacentral:misc_RNA from 1 species
GAUGAAGAACGUAGCGAAAUGCGAUAAGUAAUGUGAAUUGCAGAAUUCAGUGAAUCAUCGAAUCUUUAAACGCACAUUGCGCCCGGCAGUACUCUGCCGGGCAUGCCUGUUCGAGCGUCAUUUCAACCCUCAAGCCCUGCUUGGUGUUGGGGUCCCACGGCCGCCGUGGGCCCUGAAAGGAAGUGGCGGGCUCGCUACAACUCCGAGCGUAGUAAUUCAUUAUCUCGCUUAGGGCGUUGGGCGGCGCUCCUGCCGUUAAAGAACCAUCUUUAACUCAAGGUUGACCUCGGAUCAGGUAGGAAUACCCGCUGAACUUAAGCAUAUCAAUAAGCGGAGGA